CCGCGCUCUGAUGAGAAGGGCCGCACUUCGCUGCUGUCCCUCAGUGUGAGGGGGGUGUGGUGCGUGUUGGUGCUGUGUGCGUGUUCACUGUCUAUGAUGAGCCGAAGAGAGAAGAGCUCCGUCACGGCAGGGCAGUAGCAGCUUGGGUUGGGCUGCUUUACCGUUAUAAGUCACGCUUAGCAUCCUCUAGGCUCGGAGGGUGCGGGUCAGCAGUGUCCUGUGUGAGAAGCCUCAGGCCUUCCCUGUGCUGAGGGCAGUGCUGUGCUUCCCAGAGCCGUGGCUUUUUCUUCAAAGGGGGCCUUCUGUGGACCUGGCUUUGCAGCCUGGGGAGGAUGGGGCCCACUGAGCUCUGUGGGUCUCUGAGGUUUGCUGUUCUAAAAUGGAAACCCGGAGAUCAUUUUGAGAUACAUUCAACUGGUAGUGUGUGUAAGUCAGGGAGCGGCCCUCUGGUGUUAUGUGGUACACAGCUGGGAGGAGGUUUGCUUCUGUGAGUAAGCUGUGACUGUUCUAAGGUUUGUGGAACAUACAGAUUGUGGAGGCUGUCAGUUCCACAGUGCACCCAGGUGUGGGAAUUCCUGAUAUAAGAGAGUUUGCUCACCCAGCAUUGCCACAUGUGAGGUGCUGCCCCAGCACGCUGUGUUCCCCACACACAGCUGGAGUCCGUUACAGGGUCAUGGCCUGCUGGGCUGACCCAAGGAAAUGUUCCACACGAAGUAUCCUGGCUAUUAGGUGCGCAAGGGACUUCUAAUUCCUUCCUCCUACUCCAGUGCUGCCAAGCGGAAGAACUGCUGUGGUGCUAACUUGCUGCUCUGACUUCUGAGCACGACCUCAGCCCUGGCUGUGGGAUGCUACCAAUGUUGUGAAAUUGUUGAGUUUUUACAGGUUUAAAGGCCAGAUGACCAUAGGGCUUUUAUGUUACCAACUUGCCCAGCACAACUGGACUGGAAUAAGCUGGAUAUGUGCUUGAAGGACACAGCUUCACCUCCUGACAAGAUGCUGAGCAAUCCUCCUGGAGCGAGUAAAGAAAUAACCCAUGCAGCUGAGACACCGGAUGCAGGGAUCAGUUUUUC
rnacentral:lncRNA from 1 species